GUGCCCAGAAUUUUGGUAUUGGGACCUCCCUCCCACAAGCAUUGCCUUCUCCUCCUGUUCUUAGGCCUUGGCUAUGGAAACCCAGCAAUGCAGUAGCAUCAGGAAUAAGGAUAAUUAAGAAUAUAGAAUUGGAACAUGAUUCCAUACUCUUCAUCAGUCUUCUCGGGAGGAUUCUGACCAAAUGACCUAAAGAUAAGGAUGAGCCCAUCCAUGUUGUAAAGUAAAAUACCAUUGGGAUUCACAGUUUAUUGAAAUUUAAUAAAAAUUAUUUCCAAAGAAUGAGAAUCCUGGGGUAGCGAGGCAAUUAAUUAAGCAAUUCAUCUUAAAAGAUGGAAUACUUGGAACACCUUAGCCAUCAUUCAAUGCCAAAAUGUUUGGGUUUUUUUCAUAUCACAUCCGUCCUAUCUUUUCAUCUUCAGUGAAUCAUUCCUCAUGUUUGUAAUUAAAGCCAUAUUUACCAUCAUAA
ensembl:lncRNA novel transcript, antisense to SLC24A1